rnacentral:rRNA from 1 species
GAUGAACGCUGGCGGCGUGCCUAAUACAUGCAAGUCGAGCGAACAGACGAGGAGCUUGCUCCUCUGACGUUAGCGGCGGACGGGUGAGUAACACGUGGAUAACCUACCUAUAAGACUGGGAUAACUUCGGGAAACCGGAGCUAAUACCGGAUAAUAUAUUGAACCGCAUGGUUCAAUAGUGAAAGACGGUUUUGCUGUCACUUAUAGAUGGAUCCGCGCCGCAUUAGCUAGUUGGUAAGGUAACGGCUUACCAAGGCAACGAUGCGUAGCCGACCUGAGAGGGUAGGGGGCAACACGGGGGAGGAGAAACGGUCGAGACUCCUACGGGGGGGAGUAGUAGGGAAUUUUAGGAAGUGAGCGAAAGUAUGAAAGAGCAAAGAAGCGUGAGGGAAGAAGGUAUUUGGAGCGUAAACCUUAGUCAGAGAGGACGAUAAUGACGGUACUCGAGGAGGAAGACAAGGAUAAAUAAGUG